rnacentral:rRNA from 1 species
AUACGGAGGGUCAGAGCGUUAUCCGGAAUCAUUGGGUUUAAAGGGUCCGUAGGCGGGAAUCUAAGUCAGUGGUGAAAUCUUGCAGCUCAACUGUAAAAUUGCCAUUGAUACUGGAUUUCUUGAAUUAGUGUGAAGUGGUUAGAAUGUGUAGUGUAGCGGUGAAAUGCAUAGAUAUUACACAGAAUACCAAUUGCGAAGGCAGAUCACUAACACUAUAUUGACGCUGAGGGACGAAAGCGUGGGGAGCGAACAGGAUUAGAAACCCCGGUAGUCC